AGAUUGAACGCUGGCGGCAUGCCUUACACAUGCAAGUCGAACGGCAGCACGGGAGCAAUCCUGGUGGCGAGUGGCGAACGGGUGAGUAAUACAUCGGAACGUGCCCAAUCGUGGGGGAUAACUACGCGAAAGCGUAGCUAAUACCGCAUACGAUCUACGGAUGAAAGCAGGGGAUCGCAAGACCUUGCGCGAAUGGAGCGGCCGAUGGCAGAUUAGGUAGUUGGUGAGGUAAAGGCUCACCAAGCCUUCGAUCUGUAGCUGGUCUGAGAGGACGACCAGCCACACUGGGACUGAGACACGGCCCAGACUCCUACGGGAGGCAGCAGUGGGGAAUUUGGACAA
rnacentral:rRNA from 1 species